CUUUUGGAACUGAAUCUAAGUGAUUUAACAAAAAUUCGUCACUACCACUGAGA
rnacentral:sRNA from 1 species